rnacentral:sRNA from 1 species
UCGAACCUCAUCAAAAACUCCUGCCGCU